GUCUCCCUGCAAACUAUAAUAAGUAUAGGGAGUCGGACCUGCCCGGUGACUAAGUGUUAAACGGCCGCGGUACCCUAACCGUGCAAAGGUAGCAUAAUCAUUUGCCUUUUAAUUGGAGGCUGGUAUGAAUGGUUUGACGAGAGCUAAGCUGUCUCUUUUGAAAUUUUUAAAAAUUAACCUUCAGGUGAAGAGGCCUGUCUAUAUUUAAGGGACAAGAAGACCCUUUUGAGCUUUAGGGAUUCUGCUUAUAAAAAUUUUUGUGUAUUAUAUACAACUGUAUUGCGCAGAUGAUUUUUAGUUGGGGCGACUGAGGAACACAAGAAGCUUCCUUUAAACUUUUAAUUUUGAAAAUUUAGCUGUUAAUAAGGCUAUUUUUAUUCUGUCAUGUUAUGUUGAUCCAGUGUGAUCUGAUUAAAGGAAAAAGUUACCAUAGGGAUAACAGCGUAAUCUUUCUGGAGAGAUCUCAUCGAAAGAAGGGUUUGCGACCUCGAUGUUGGACUAAGAUAUCCGAAGGGUGCAGAAGCUCUUGGAGGUUGGUCUGUUCGACCAUUAAAAUCUU
rnacentral:rRNA from 1 species